GCCGCGUUCGUCUAACGGUUAGGACGUAGCCCUCUCAAGGCUGUAAUACGGGUUCGAUUCCCGUACGCGGUA
rnacentral:tRNA from 1 species